UCGUAAGCGUGAAGCGCCGGCGCUACAGCUUUUUGUCCCUCGCGGCGACCCGUCCUCCAGAUGGUUGUGGCGGCCGCCAUGGAGGCGAGUGGGCUCUGAGGAGAGGCCGGGCUGGGCCGGCGGCCUCCAGCCACGAGCGGCGGAGGCCACGAACACGUAGUGGGGGAGGCUGGAGCGAGCCGGGCCGCUGCGGGAGGCUCGGCGUUCCGAGUGUGCUCCGGCCGCCGAGCCGCCGCUCCUGGCUCCGGCUCCGGCUCCGGCCCUGGCUCCGGCUCCCGCCGCAGACAUGGCGGGCGGGCAUUGCGGCAGCUUCGCCGCGUCGGCGGCCAGCAGCGGGGAGAUCGUGCAGCUGAAUGUGGGGGGGACCAGAUUCAGUACCUCUAGACAGACGCUCAUGUGGAUUCCAGAUUCUUUUUUCUCCAGUUUGCUGAGUGGAAGAAUUUCAACACUUCGAGAUGAAACUGGUGCUAUAUUUAUUGAUAGGGACCCGGCAGCAUUCGCCCCCAUUUUAAAUUUUCUUCGGACAAAAGAACUCGACUUAAGGGGAGUCAGCAUUAAUGUUCUCAGGCACGAGGCAGAAUUUUAUGGGAUCACUCCACUAGUGCGGAGGCUGCUGCUGUGUGAGGAGCUGGAGAGGUCAUCCUGCGGCAGCGUCCUGUUCCACGGCUACUUGCCCCCGCCAGGCAUUCCCAGUCGUAAAGUAACUAACACAGCUAGGUCCUCUGUGGAUGCUAGGAAUGGACUGAACUCUAUGGAAGGAGAAGCCCGGGGAAACGGGACACAGCCUGUGCUUGCAGGAAAUGGAGAAGACACUAUUCGGCUGGGAGUUCCAGUGGAUCCAAGAAAGGUGCUAAUAGUUGCUGGCCACCACAAUUGGAUUGUAGCUGCCUAUGCGCAUUUCGCUGUGUGUUACAGAAUCAAAGAGUCCUCAGGGUGGCAGCAGGUGUUUACAAGCCCUUACCUGGACUGGACCAUCGAACGGGUGGCUUUAAAUGCAAAGGUGGUUGGAGGUCCUCAUGGAGACAAGGACAAAAUGGUGGCUGUCGCCUCAGAGAGCAGCAUCAUCUUGUGGAGUGUUCAGGAUGGAGGAAGUGGAAGUGAAAUUGGUGUGUUCAGCCUCGGCGUUCCUGUAGAUGCUCUCUUCUUCAUUGGAAACCAGCUGGUGGCCACGAGUCACACGGGGAAGGUGGGCGUGUGGAACGCUGUCACGCAGCACUGGCAGGUGCAGGACGUUGUCCCAAUAACCAGCUACGACACUGCAGGCUCCUUCCUCCUCCUGGGAUGCAACAACGGAUCAAUAUAUUACAUAGACAUGCAGAAGUUCCCGUUGCGGAUGAAGGACAACGACCUUCUCGUCACUGAGCUCUAUCACGACCCCUCCAAUGACGCCGUCACCGCGCUGAGCGUUUACCUCACUCCCAAGACAAGUGUCAGCGGAAACUGGAUUGAGAUCGCCUAUGGUACGAGCUCUGGAGCCGUGCGAGUGAUUGUGCAGCAUCCGGAGACUGUCGGCUCAGGGCCUCAGCUCUUCCAGACAUUCACCGUUCACCGGAGCCCCGUGACCAAGAUCAUGCUGUCAGAGAAGCACCUGGUGUCAGUGUGUGCUGACAACAACCACGUCCGCACCUGGACAGUGACACGAUUCAGAGGGAUGAUCUCUACGCAGCCAGGCUCCACUCCUUUAGCAUCCUUCAAGAUCCUGUCCUUGGAGGAGACAGAGAGCCAUGGCAGCUAUUCCUCUGGAAAUGACAUCGGGCCUUUUGGGGAACGAGAUGAUCAACAAGUAUUUAUCCAGAAAGUUGUUCCCAUCACCAACAAACUGUUUGUCAGGCUGUCGUCGACAGGAAAAAGGUGACACUUCACAGAAGACAAGUAUAUUCAGAAAUGGCCUUUGUCUCCUAGAAUGCAGGUGCAGUUUGUUAGCGGUGGAAGGCACCAGACACAUUACAGCAGGCUUCCCUAUGCUGGUUACCUGUAGAGAGGGAGACUCAGCAGUGACUGCCACUUAAUGAGCCAUAAUGACCCUGGAUGGGACAGACUGAGAGCACCAUAGAGAAACAAAGCUGUCACACACAAGCGUGUCUCCAUUAGAAUAUGUGAGAUCCAGGCUGUAGACUGCACUACAAUCUCCUCCUUCACCGUGAGGGAGUGUGAGGGCUCCAGCAGGAUGGGCUCCCGGCCAAGGCGAUACCUGUUCACUGGCCACACCAACGGCAGCAUCCAGAUGUGGGACCUGACCACAGCCAUGGAUAUGGUCAACAAGACUGAGGACAAGGAUGCAGGCGGGCCCACUGAGGAGGAGCUGCUCAAGCUGCUGGACCAGUGUGAUCUGAGCACGUCCCGCUGUGCCACUCCCAACAUCAGCCCCGCCACCUCCGUGCUGCAGCACAGCCGCCUUCGAGAGUCCAGCUCCAGCCUUCAGCUCCAGCACCACGAAACCAUCCACGAAGCGGCAACCUAUGGUGCCACGCGGCCUUACCGAGAGAGCCCUUUGUUAGCCAGAGCACGGAGGACUGAGAGUUUCCACAGCUACAGGGACUUCCAGACUCUUAAUCUCAACAGAAGCAUAGAGAGACCUGUCCCUGAGAAUGGUCACAUGGGCCCAGCCCAGACUGAGGUGAAAGGGGCAGCAGGGGAGUGCGCUAUGUCUGAGAGGAGGUCCCCUGGCACAGAGGUAAGAUGUGGGCGAGAGUCAGAUGGGGGACUGGAGGUGCAUAGAACAGCAGAGGGUUUGUCAGAGCCCAAGAAAAGGUCAGCAGAGGAUGAAAAUGAGCAUAAAGUGGAGUUCCGAAAGAAAGGGUUUGAAGCAGGAGGAUUUCUUGGAAGAAAGAAAGUUCCCUAUCUGGCAUCCUCACCAAGUACCUCUGAUGGAGGGACCGACUCCCCUGGUACAGCAUCCCCGUCUCCAACCAAGACCACUCCGUCACCUCGGCACAAAAAGAGCGAUUCCUCUGGCCAAGAGUACAGCUUGUGAACUCACCCAAGUGCAUGAGAGUUUUUCUAAAUCUACAUGAAAAACAAAUUUUCCUGGGUUUCAGUACAUUGGCUUUUACAUCAAAAACUAACAGGGCACAGUUUGACCUGUUUAGUGUAUUCUGGGCCGAGUCUCUGAAGCAGGAGCAGAGCACACUCCCGGGAUUCAGGGACAUGGUCCUCACAGCUCGGAAGUAGCUCUAGUCCUGCGAGCAGGCACUUGGAACAGCAGUCUGUAAGCAGGAGUCAUUGCCAUGUUGCCCUCCCUGCUGGUGUUACUGUGUUCCCUUAGAGCAUGUGGGCCAGUGGGCCACAUUCAUAAUGCAGUUGCCCAAGGCCUGUCUUGCAGUGGUACCUUAAAGUUAACCUCAUAAUCUUGGAACUUGGGCUCCAACCCUUAUGAUUGUGGAGUGUUUACUAGAUACAUAAUGAGGUGCUAAGUUGUGGGGAAGUCUCAUGUAACUCAGAACACUAUCCUGGUCCCAGGCUACACUGUGCACUACGUCUUUAGGGUUGUUUAUUUCACUGCGGGUCAUUUUCUGAUUCUUGUUGUUGGGAGUCAAUAUAGCAUGCGUCACCAGUGUUUGGUACCCAAGUCGUUCCAGUGGGAACAAUGUCUGUUUGAGUAAACUAAGACUGACAGGGGAAUCGGGGUGCUCACAAGCGAGUCCCUCCAGCUGCUUUAGGAGCCGCUGUGUUCCUGCUGUGUCUUACAGGACUGGAGUGCUGGAUUCGGAGUUAAACGCAUCAAUAUGUAAAAUUGUUGUUUUGGCUUUAUUUUGAACUCUGGGAGCAAAAGAAAAAUUUUUGUACAUUUUCUUCAUUUAAUCAGAAUGGUUUACAUAUUUCUGCAAAUGGAGAAAAUGUAAAUAUAAACCCAUGACCAUUUACUAAGUGAAUGAUGUAUAUUUCCCAUUAUCAGAAGUAUAAUGAAGUUGGAAUAAAUUCUUUAAAGUUUACUAUGUUGCCAGUGGUUUCACACAAAUUCCCUUGUAUUUAUUUGUUGAUUAAAUCAAGUGAGAAAGGUUAAA